ACCCCAAAAACCUCCCAAAAACCCAAACUCUUACACUCGCAGAAAAAGCCAGUUCUUCCUCACAGCUCCACUAACAUACUCCACAAUCUCCACACAAAAAUGGCGACCCUUUUGCCGGAAACCUCCAAAAUCCCCCAGUGCUGCAUCGUCCUCCUGGUCCGUUCACGCCGUGCCAUCAGAACAUAUCUCCGAGGUGGGGAAUUGGGGAUACAGAGCUUGAGGAGCCGCACAUGAAGAGGAAGGUGCUGAGGCUGUCACAGUUGCUGAACACAAUCAAAGAUGUGAAUGCACAGCUAGUGACAACAACAUAGAGGAAGCUAACAGAGGACCUGUUGAAGUUAGUAGAGCAGUUGAAGCAGUGGUGGAAGAUCAAAAGCUCCUAUGGUGACGUUGGCUUCAAGUAUACAUAGGAUGAGACCGUCGCUUAUGUUGCGUCUCGGAUGCCUGCUGUGUUCUAAGCAUGUUACCAAGUUCAGUGAAAGAUAGGAAAUUGAAUGGGUGCUUUCUGUGUGGAAUUGCUGGUUCGUAGAAGGUUACCAAGUUUCUCUCUAGCUAGAGUGUUAGGUUUUGGUGAUGGCACGGGUUCAGCUUCCUGGUGAAAAGCUCAUUUCGUUAUCUCACAAUAUGGUUACCUGCAUACUGGAAUGCAUAUUGGUUCACUGUUAUCUUUUAGUAGCUGUGUUUGCGACAAUUUGAACAAAAUUUUGUAGGGCCCUGCAAGUAGUGUGGCCACAGUCCUUGGAGAAAGUUAAAUUAGUAGUGCCAUCCCAGUCAAUGCAGCAUGCUGGCUGGAGCCUUAUACAAGGUAUGAAGAACCUGCCACUUACUCGUAGUUAUGGUAGCAUUAAGGCACUUACUAAAAGCAUCAAUAAGUCAGAGAGAGGACAUGGUCUUGAGAAUGCUUCCUACAUGCUUGGAGAGAUACCAUCACUGAAGGACAGAAUCACUAUAGUAUGCCAGCUUUGGGAUCUUUCACGGGAUGUUCUGGUUUCGGUUGAACCUGGAACACCUCAUGGAUUUAAUGCCAUAUCUCAGAUGUGAUGUCAUAUAUUAUGGAUGGAGAAAAGGGUAAGUUUGUUCAUUCUUCAGGACAAGAUUUUAGUUAGGGUAACUAUUCAAUAUUUGUUGCAAGACUCUUGUGCUUCUGAUUAACUAAUGUGCUUUAUUAACUCUGCUUAUGUGGAGUGUCAUAUUCAUGAUUUCUUAGAAAUUCCGUGAAUCUAAAGCUGCAAUAAUACAACUUCAAAGGACUUGGUGGUGGCUCAAAAAAGUGGUGCAUACAUGGUUGCCCCUGUGAGUACUAUAGUCCCACCCUCUCUAUCUCUCUCAUAUAGUUCUCUUUAUGCAGUGUCCUCAUGAUGGGCAAUGUCCAUUGGCAAAAACUAGUAAAUACUGUCAUUUUGUCCAACACUUGGAGAGGACAUCAUCACAACAAGCAUACAAGGGAACCUUGGCCCCUUGAUGGAAUGGAAUUUGAGACAUUGAAGGAGCAACAUGCAAAAAGAAAAAUCCAAGAUCUUGAAAUUGACUACGGUACAUCUGAGUACUCUAUUUCCACUGAAAACCUCUCCGAGAGAUCUUCAUAAUUAAAACAUGUUUUUGCUAUAAUGUGAUUACUAGUAUACAUAUGCUAAUCAACUAGCAUUCCAGUGUGAUCUGGGAAUUUCUGAACUUCAAUUUCUUUCUGAUACCAUCUCUAAUGACCUUGAUAGAGGACCUAAUUAAUUUACAACGAGAAGCUGGUAAUAUUCCAUACGAAGAAGUGGAUCCAGCUACCUAUGAUUCUGUUGUAAUGGAUACUGAUGCUGCUGACCAGAAGGAGAAGAAACUACCUCUGCUGAUCUUGGGGGGUAGUUGGGGUAGGCUUAUUUUUUCACCUGUUAGUCGGGGCAGGCAGGUCACAAUUGAUGUUUGUCGAUCGACCAAACAAUAUGGCUCGGAGGAUUCGUUUGAGCAUGUGGUGUGAUGAGUAUGCCUCACAUGUAAAUUUGUCCCUGUAAUACUAAUGAAAAGAUCUCUCUGGGGUGACUUGGGGCCCUUUUGAAGUGAUAUUUUCAUUUUUAA